rnacentral:lncRNA from 1 species
AUGCUAGCUCCUGCUUUUUCUUUCUUUCUUUCUUUCUUUCUUUCUUUCUUUCUUUCCUUUUCUUUUUACUUUCCACUCCUCUGCUCUGCUUCUAUUUUAAGGACUGAAAAUGAAGUAAGGAAUAAGACAGGACUAAUUAAAAGAAGAACCAAUGAGACCAGACAUAAGGAGGGAAACUUAAGAAAAAAGAAAGAAGAAACAAGUCUUUUCCAAACUCUAUCAACCAGUGGUCAAAGAUAUGGAAAUCGAACGCUGAGAAGCCUGUGA